UCUGUUCCAGUUUAUAUGAGAGAACUACUCAGAUUUUCAAUUCUCACUCCAUCAUUGUUCUGCUUUUUCCUUCCCUCUUUCUGGUGAGUUUUCUUCCUCUUUGAUUUUUGCUUAGUGAUUUCAUCUUCUUCUAUUUGGGUUCCAUUGCAGAUUUGCAAUAUGGGAACCAGAUUCCGACUUGAAACAAAGAUUCCUAAACUAUUGUAUGCAGAGAUGGUUCAAGCAAUUGAAAGGUUUCCGGAUGCACAUUGAUUUUUUUUUUUCACUUCAAGAGGAAGAAAGGAGAAAGGCCUUUAAUUGAUAAGAUAUUUGAUAGUGAUUUGUAGGUGAAUCAUAUUUGAGAGGUACGAGAUGAACUUUGCACUUCCUUUUGAGCAUAAAUCCGAUUAAGAUUGGGAUACAUUAUUUUAAACGGGAGGCUAUAAAUACAAUAGUUGAAUUUCAUAGAUGUAUAGGCAACUGAUGCUCCUGAUAACUGAAACUUAUAAACAUCCCUCAGUUAAAUCUCACAAAUUUAAUUUUUUUUUACACCCAAAAUUAGUUUUCUUGAGUGUUUAAUUGUUAAUGAGUGCCAUUAAUUCAUAAGUUCCUAUUUCCAAAAGCAAAAGGUGUACACGACUAUUUUAAUUUAUGAUUAGGUACUAUUACUGUAUUAAAUUCUCAAAAAUGAAAGAGCGCAGUACUUCCUUUAUAGAGUGUAGAUACGUCGAUGUUUUACCCCGUUGUAGUGUACAUGAAUAUGAGCCAAAGCCCCAAUUUCUUAUCUAAAAAUCUGGAAUUUAUUAUAAUAUUUUAGCACAAGUAUCUCACACUGUGAGUUGUACUUAUCAUAGAUAUGUCAAAUUAAAAUUACAUGUUAUCAAGUUUCCUAAGAUUGUUUUCUUUUUCACCCUUGCACUUCACCAUGAAUGUUCCAACAGUUCCAAAAGUUUGACCAAGGUGUUGUGUGUCCUGUUUCACCUGAAGACAAGUUUAAAAAUUGGAUGACAUUCUGUCACAAAUUCUCAUUAUAAAAUCAUUAACUUUGAGCAUGAUAUGAUUGUCUUUUUUGUAUUAUCUAUCUAUAUCUAUCUAUAUUAUUAUAAAAGUGGAACCCCAAAAUUGAAAAGUUAAAAGACCUAAAUGCCCUCUCAAUAAUUUAAAUAUCUUAUUUACAAAAA